AACGCACAUUGCGCCCGCCAGCACUCUGGCGGGCAUGCCUGCCCGAGCGUCAUUUCAGAAACCCUCGAGCCGCCCCGGCGGCUCGGCCUUGGGGGCCGGCGCCCGGCGCCGCCCCCGAAAUGCAGUGGCGACCACGCCGCGGCCUCCCCUGCGCAGUACAUGAGCCUCGCACCGGAGCGCGGACGCGGUCACGCCGUGAAACCCCCCCACGCUUGAGAGUUGACCUCGGAUCAGGUAGGGAUACCCGCUGAACUUAA
rnacentral:misc_RNA from 1 species